UUGUGCGUACUUGGUUUUAGUGGCUUUAUUGUCUGGACGCUUUGCUGCGUUUAAUCGCGUGGUAAGGAAGGUCAGACCUUUUACUGUGAGAAAAUUAGGGUGUUCAAAGCAGGCUUUCGCUCGAAUAUAUUAGCAUGGAAUACUAAAAUAUGACGUUUGUUUGUAUUUUGUUGGUUUCUACAAAUAUCGUAAUGAUAAAUAGGGACAGCUCGGGGGUGGACGUAUUCAAAUGUGAGAGGUGAAAUUCAGUGAUCAUUUGAGGACGCACUACUGCGAAAGCAUCUACCAAGGAUGUUUUCAUUAAUCAAGAACGAAAGUUGGGGGAUCGAAGACGAUUAGAUACCGUCGUAGUCCCAACCGUAAACUAUGCCGACUAGGGAUUGGAUGGGCGUUAUUUUAGCCCAUUCAGCACCUCGUGAGAAAUCAAAGUUUUUAGGUUCUGGGGGGAGUAUGGUCGCAAGGCUGAAACUUAAAGGAAUUGACGGAAGGGCACCACCAGGAGUGGAGCCUGCGGCUUAAUUUGACUCAACACGGGGAAACUCACCAGGUCCAGACACAGUAAGGAUUGACAGGAUUUGAGAGCACUUUCUUGAUUUUGUGGGUGGUGGUGCAUGGCCGUUCUUAGUUGGUGGAGUGAUUUGUCUGCUUAAUUGCGAUAACGAACGAGACCUUGACUUUUAAAUAGUUUGGUCCACAUUUUGUGGAUACACACUUCUUAAAAGGACUAUCAG
rnacentral:rRNA from 1 species